AAGGAGAUUUUUAGGGAUGCAAGAUGAAAGCAGCUAAACACAACUAUAGGAAAUGGAGGCUGUUAUCAGCAUCUAGCUUAGGAUGGCGAGCCAAGCAUGGCUCUCAGGUGCAACUCACAUGGAGACGUGGCUCUCAGGUAAAAGUUCAGAUAUUGCAAGAAAAGAAGCAAAAAAAAAAAAAAAAAGCACAGUGUGAAAAAUAGUGAUGUGAACCUGACAGUCACUAUAGGACUGUUCUCAAACAAAGUUAAUAUAAUUGAAUUAAUUCUGACAUGCCACAUUCAUAUAUACUGAGG
rnacentral:lncRNA from 1 species